rnacentral:rRNA from 1 species
ACUGUCAUUCUUGAGUGCAGAAGAGGAGAGUGGAAUUCCAUGUGUAGCGGUGGAAUGCGUAGAUAUAUGGAAGAACACCAAGUGGCGAAGGCGGCUCUCUGGUCUGCAACUGACGCUGAGGCUCGAAAGCAUGGGUAGCGAACAGGAUUAGAUACCCUGGUAGUCCAUGCCGUAAACGAUGAGCGCUAGGUGUUGGGGACUUUCCGGUCCUCAGUGCCGCAGCAAACGCAUUAAGCGCUCCGCCUGGGGAGUACGACCGCAAGGUUGAAACUCAAAGGAAUUGACGGGGGCCCGCACAAGCGGUGGAGCAUGUGGUUUAAUUCGAAGCAACGCGAAGAACCUUACCAGGUCUUGACAUCCUGCGCUACACCUAGAGAUAGGUGGUUCUUCGGGGACGCAGAGACAGGUGGUGCAUGGCUGUCGUCAGCUCGUGUCGUGAGAUGUUGGGUUAAGUCCCGCAACGAGCGCAACCCUUGUCUUUAGUUGCCAUCAUUAAGUUGGGCACUCUAAAGAGACUGCCGGUGACAAACCGGAGGAAGGUGGGGAUGACGUCAAGUAUCAUGCCCCUUAUGACCUGGGCUACACACGUGCUACAAUGGGCAGUACAACGAGAAGCGAACCCGCGAGGUAAGCGGAUCUCUUAAAGCUGUUCUCAGUUCGGACUGCAGGCUGCAACUCGCCUGCACGAAGCUGGAAUCGCUAGUAAUCGCGGAUCAGCACGCCGCGGUGAAUACGUUCCCGGGCCUUGUACACACCGCCCGUCACACCAUGGAAGUCUGCAAUGCCCAAAGUCGGUGGGAUAACCUUUAUAGGAGUCAGCCGCCUAAGGCAGGCAGAUGACUGGGGUGAAGUCGUAACAAGGUAGCCGUAGGAGAACCUGCGGCUGGAUCACCUCCUUUCUAAGGAA